rnacentral:lncRNA from 1 species
AAGGAUGAUGUGGAAUUCGGAGAGUAGGAGGUGGCAGUUGAGUGGGAAGCCAUCAUGACACCUGAGAUGGGAAACAAAGUUCUGAAUAUAAGACUCAAGGAUUUUGUCACUAAUACGAUACGAAAAGUAAAGUCCGCGAAAAGUUCAUCUACCUAAGAACAUGCCUCAGGUACUCCUUACCAUAUUACUUACUUUGUAUCUUGUGAACGAUUUUCUAUUAGACAGAGAAAUUUUGUUGCAGCUGUGAUGACAGGGAACCUAAGAAUUUUAAAGAAGCCGUAAAGGAUUCUGGUUGGCGUGAUGCAAUGCGCAAUGAGAUACAAGCCUUGGAAA